GCGCACCAGGCGAGAAACUUCACACUGUGCGGAAGCACGAUGAGGGAAUCCCAAGUGCUUGCACGUAAGUGUAAGCUGUUUCUCUGUUUAAAACGCAGAGAGAGUAAGGGCUGGGUAAGACGGGUGCCAGCCGCCGCGGUAAUACCUGCAGCCCAAGUGGUGACCGUUAUUAUUGGGCCUAAAACGUCCGUAGCCGGUUUAAUAAAUGCCUGGGUAAAUCGUGUAGCUUAACUAUACGAAUUCCGGGUAGACUGUUAAACUCGAGACCGGGAGAAGUUAGAGGUACUCCUGGGGUAGAGGUGAAAUUCUGUAAUCCUAGGGGGACCACCAGUGGCGAAGGCGUCUAACUAGAACGGGUCUGACGGUGGGGGACGAAGCCCUGGGGCGC
rnacentral:rRNA from 1 species